rnacentral:ncRNA from 1 species
UGGAAAAAUGUAGGCAGAGAAAGUCCGCAAAAUGAAUCCAUAACUUUGGAAAAAAGAUUGGCUUUGAGGGUUGGUCAUUAGGGUCCCACUCUCAAACCCAUCAACUAUCGGUGGGCUGCUCUAGCUGCUUCUACGGUAAGAGCAGGUCACCGCGUGCCGGCUAAGGGAUGGACUAGGAAUAAUUCCUUCUAUGGACUGUACCGUGCGUCGAACAUCCAACUCAAAACUAGUACGAACCUGGAGAAUCACACAAUGUGAUUUCUUUCAGUUAUUAUUGUCUACUUCUCA